UGCAGUCUGCAACUCGACUGCAUGAAGCCGGAAUCGCUAGUAAUCGCGGAUCAGAAUGCCGCGGUGAAUACGUUCCCGGGUCUUGUACACACCGCCCGUCACACCAUGGGAGUCGGAAAUGCCCGAAGCCGGUGGCCUAACCGAUAAGGGAGGAGCCGUCGAAGGCAGGUCUGAUGACUGGGGUGAAGUCGUAACAAGGUAAC
rnacentral:rRNA from 1 species